UCGAUUCCGGAGAGGGAGCCUGAGAAAUGGCUACCACUUCUACGGAAGGCAGCAGGCGCGCAAAUUACUCAAUCCCAAUACGGGGAAGUAGUGACAAAAAAUACUAAUGCCUUUCCAUUUAUAUGGGGGGCAAUUGGAAUAAGUACAACUUAAAUCGCUUAGCAAAAGUGAUUGGAGGGCAAGUCUGGUGCCAGCAGCCGCGGUAAUUCCAGCUCCAAUAGCGUAUACUAAAUUUGUUGCAGUUAAAAAGCUCGUAGUUGAGAUUGAGAUUUCUUAGGUUUAGAGUCGCUUGGCCUUCGGGUUUGAGUUUGAUUCGUAAAGCUCUAUAGUAGAAUUCCAUUUUAUUAUUAGGGUUACUAAGAAAUUUCUAUCUGCCCAUGGUAGCUAGCAAUAGUUAUCAAUCGGGUGAUCUACUGUGAGAAAAUUGUAGUGUUCAAAGCAGGCGUCUUACGUUUGUUCAAUGCAGCAUGGUAUAGUAAAAUAUGACACUAAAUAUAUGUUGGUUGUAUAUUCUUAGUGUAAUGACUAAUAGGGAAGGGCGGGGCCGUUCAUAUUGG
rnacentral:rRNA from 1 species